rnacentral:rRNA from 1 species
AAUAGAUACCCGGGUAGUCCACGCCGUAAACGGUGAGUGCUAAGUGUUAGAGGGUUUCCGCCCUUUAGUGCUGCAGCUAACGCAUUAAGCACUCCGCCUGGGGAGUACGGCCGCAAGGCUGAAACUCAAAGGAAUUGACGGGGGCCCGCACAAGCGGUGGAGCAUGUGGUUUAAUUCGAAGCAACGCGAAGAACCUUACCAGGUCUUGACAUCCUCUGCCAACCCUAGAGAUAGGGCGUUCCCCUUCGGGGGACAGAGUGACAGGUGGUGCAUGGUUGUCGUCAGCUCGUGUCGUGAGAUGUUGGGUUAAGUCCCGCAACGAGCGCAACCCUUGAUCUUAGUUGCCCAGCAUUUAGUUGGGCACUCUAAGGUGACUGCCGGUGACAAACCGGAGGAAGGUGGGGAUGACGUCAAAUCAUCAUGCCCCUUAUGACCUGGGCUACCACACGUGCUACAAUGGAUGGUACAAAGAGCUGCGAACCCGCGAGGGUAAGCCAAUCUCAUAAAGCCAUUCUCAGUUCGGAUUGUAGGCUGCAA